ACGGAAGGCAGCAGUGGGGAAUAUUGGACAAUGGGGGAAACCCUGAUCCAGCGACGCCGCGUGAGUGAAGAAGUAUUUCGGUAUGUAAAGCUCUAUCAGCAAGGAAGAAAAUGACGGUACUUGACUAAGAAGCUCCGGCUAAAUACGUGCCAGCAGCCGCGGUAGUACGUAUGGAGCAAGCGUUAUCCGGAUUUACUGGGUGUAAAGGGAGCGUAGACGGCAAAGCAAGUCCGAAGUGAAAUCCCGGGGCUCAACCCCGGAACUGCUUUGGAAACUGUUUAGCUAGAGUGCAGGAGAGGUAAGCGGAAUUCCUAGUGUAGCGGUGAAAUGCGUAGAUAUUAGGAGGAACACCAGUGGCGAAGGCGGCUUACUGGACUGUAACUGACGUUGAGGCUCGAAAGCGUGGGGAGCAAACAGGAUUAGAUACCCUGGUA
rnacentral:rRNA from 1 species